AUUGACGGGGGCCCGCACAAGCGGUGGAGCAUGUGGUUUAAUUCGAUGCAACGCGAAGAACCUUACCUGGUCUUGACAUCCACGGAAGUUUUCAGAGAUGAGAAUGUGCCUUCGGGAACCGUGAGACAGGUGCUGCAUGGCUGUCGUCAGCUCGUGUUGUGAAAUGUUGGGUUAAGUCCCGCAACGAGCGCAACCCUUAUCCUUUGUUGCCAGCGGUCCGGCCGGGAACUCAAAGGAGACUGCCAGUGAUAAACUGGAGGAAGGUGGGGAUGACGUCAAGUCAUCAUGGCCCUUACGACCAGGGCUACACACGUGCUACAAUGGCGCAUACAGAGAGAAGCGACCUCGCGAGAGCAAGCGGACCUCAUAAAGUGCGUCGUAGUCCGGAUUGGAGUCUGCAACUCGACUCCAUGAAGUCGGAAUCGCUAGUAAUCGUGGAUCAGAAUGCCACGGUGAAUACGUUCCCGGGCCUUGUACACACCGCCCGUCACACCAUGGGAGUGGGUUGCAAAAGAAGUAGGUAGCUUAACCUUCGGGAGGGCGCUUACCACUUUGUGAUU
rnacentral:rRNA from 1 species